rnacentral:rRNA from 1 species
AACGAACGCUGGCGGCAGGCCUCAUACAUGCAAGUCGAGCGCGAAAGCACCUUCGGGUGUGAUUAGAGCGGCGAACGGGUGAGUAACAGGUGGAUAAUCUACCUCUUGGCGGGGGACAACAGUUGGAAACGGCUGCUAAUACCGCAUGUGUUUAUUGGUUCUCCGGAACCGAUAAAGAAAGGCGCUUCGGCGCCACCAAGAGGUGGGUCCGCCCCCCAUUAGCUAGUUGGUAGGAUAACAGCCUACCAAGGCCGGGAUGGGUAGCCGAACUGAGAGGUUGAUCGGCCACACUGGAACUGAGACACGGUCCAGACACCUACGGGUGGCAGCAGUAGGGAAUAUUGCGCAAUGGGCGAAAGCCUGACGCAGCCAUGCCGCGUGAGUGACGAAGGCCCUCGGGUCGUAAAGCUCUUUUCCGAGGGAAGAACACCCAGGGGAGGUAAUGCCCCUGGCUUGACGGUACCUCAGGAAUAAGGAACGGCUAACUCCGUGCCAGCAGCCGCGGUAAUACGGGGGUUCCUAGCGUUGUUCGGAAUUACUGGGCGUAAAGGGAGCGCGGGCGGAUUGGUCAGUCUAAAGUGGAAGUCCGAGGCUCAACCUCGGAAGUGCUUUGGAUACUGCCAGUCUUGAGUUCGUGAGAGGAAAGCGGAAUUCAGGGUGUAGCGGUGAAAUGCUUAGAUAUCCUGAGGAACACCAAUGGCGAAGGCAGCUUUCUGGCACGUGACUGACGCUGAGGCUCGAAAGCGUGGGUAGCGAACGGGAUUAGAUACCCCGGUAGUCCACGCCGUAAACGUUGUGCACUAGGUGCUGGGGGUAUCGACCCCUCCAGUGCCGUAGCUAACGCAUUAAGUGCACCGCCUGGGGAGUACGGUCGCGAAGACUGAAACUCAAAGGAAUUGACGG